UGAUUGGUAUGUCUGUGGGUAGA
rnacentral:miRNA from 1 species